rnacentral:rRNA from 1 species
UCCAGAUGUUGAAUUCCUCGGGGCUUAACCCCGGGAAUUGCAUCUGAUACGGUUCAGGCUAGAGUCUUGUAGAGGGGGGUAGAAUUCCAUGUGUAGCGGUGAAAUGCGUAGAGAUGUGGAGGAAUACCCGGUGGCGAAGGCGGCCCCCUUGGACAAAGACUGACGCUCAGGUGCGAAAGCGUGGGGAGCAAAACAGGAUUAGAUACCCUGGUAGUCCACGCUGUAAACGAUGUCAACUUGGAGGUUGUGCCCUUGAGGCGUGGCUUCCGGAGCUAACGCGUUAAGUCGACCGCCUGGGGAGUACGGCCGCAAGGUUAAAACUCAAAUGAAUUGACGGGGGCCCGCACAAGCGGUGGAGCAUGUGGUUUAAUUCGAUGCAACGCGAAGAACCUUACCUACUCUUGACAUCCAGAGAACUUUAGCAGAGAUGCUUUGGUGCCUUCGGGAACUCUGAGACAGGUGCUGCAUGGCUGUCGUCAGCUCGUGUUGUGAAAUGUUGGGUUAAGUCCCGCAACGAGCGCAACCCUUAUCCUUUGUUGCCAGCGCGUAAUGGCGGGAACUCAAAGGAGACUGCCGGUGAUAAACCGGAGGAAGGUGGGGAUGACGUCAAGUCAUCAUGGCCCUUACGAGUAGGGCUACACACGUGCUACAAUGGCGUGUACAAGGGGAAGCGACCCCGCGAGGGCAAGCGGAACUCAUAAAGUACGUCGUAGUCCGGAUUGGAGUCUGCAACUCGACUCCAUGAAGUCGGAAUCGCUAGUAAUCGUAGAUCAGAAUGCUACGGUGAAUACGUUCCCGGGCCUUGUACACACCGCCCGUCACACCAUGGGAGUGGGUUGCAAAAGAAGUAGGUAGCUUAACCUCCGGGAGGGCGCUUACCACUUUGUGAUUCAUGACUGGGGUGAAGUCGUAACAAGGUA